rnacentral:rRNA from 1 species
GACGUAGGGCGCAAGCGUUGUCCGGAUUUAUUGGGCGUAAAGAGCUCGUAGGCGGUUUGUCGCGUCUGCCGUGAAAGUCCGGGGCUCAACUCCGGAUCUGCGGUGGGUACGGGCAGACUAGAGUGAUGUAGGGGAGACUGGAAUUCCUGGUGUAGCGGUGAAAUGCGCAGAUAUCAGGAGGAACACCGAUGGCGAAGGCAGGUCUCUGGGCCACUACUGACGCUGAGAAGCGAAAGCAUGGGGAGCGAACAGG